ACUCCAAUUACAAUGCAACUCUAGUGCAUUGCCGCUGGCUUAUCCUGAAUUUUGCCCUAUAAAUGUUUCUGCAUCAGUGAUCUUGCUGGACAGUGUUUUAUUUUACCUGCUGCGUUAACUAAUAGUAAAAUGCAGCAUGGAAAGGGCACUUGGCCAGAACUCUGGGUUCUCUUCGCAGCUCAGCUACGGUCAUGCUCUGUGUGUUUUGCUGUCUGUCACAUGGGAACAGUAACUGAAAUUUCCUUGGAAAGUGCUCAUAGAGCUACAAUGCAUUAUAUAAGAAUUAACUGUUAUUACUAUAGAAUUUGGGAGCCAAAUUUUGACCUUUCCCUGCAUUCAUAUGUCAGCAAAUUGCCAUAAGCCUAUCUGGAAAAAUACUUUAACCAGCUGCCUCUGGCAGAGUGAGAACUGCAGAAAACCUGUCACAUCACAGAUCUAGGUCUGUUCUUCUACCAGCAAAACAUGACAGGAGAGAGCAGACCUAAACAGCAGCAGGGCUUAGCAACCACUUCACACCAGCCCUUCCUAGGAGAGGUGACCUCACGGAAGUUCAUUUGUGUGUGAUCUGAAGAAAAAUCUCAAGAGAAACAAUGGAUAAAAGAAGCAAGUGUUGUGAGAAACUGAAAUAUGAUGAGGCCUCUUGGGCCAUGUGACCUUGCGGGGCUCCUUGAAUCCUUCUGUGCUUGUUAGAGUUAUGCCCCUUUCCUGCAGUUCAGACACUUCUGUUUGGGCAAACACAAAUAGCAACCAUGUACUUCUAGUCUGAGGUAGACAACAAAGAAAGCAGCAAGAACAAAUGUAACUUUUCCAGAGGAACCACAGUCUGAUCCUUAGCAGGCUGUAGCAGGCCUGAGAACAAAAUGGCUAAUGCCUCUGCUGACAGGCAGGCUUCUUGCAGCUUUACUGGAGGGAGAAAGGCAGGAUAAUUUUGUGGCAACAUACCCAAAGGAUAACUUCCUGGUUAUUUUUAAGAAAAGGCGAAAGGUGCUGGUGGAAUAUACAAGAAUAAUAUCCACAGAAAUUAGUAAUGGAAUGUUAAAAAAAAAACAAAAAACCACCCUUUGAGCUGUGAGUCAUGAUUUCUCGACAGUGCAUACAUUAUAAAAUAAAAUGCUACCGAACAUACCCUGCCUAUCAGUAUGUAGGGCCUAAUUAAACAGUGAAUAAAUAUUUUAACAGUCAUAAAAAUGAAACUACAAUUAUUUGAAGAUGAUCUGAUAACAACUGGUUUGUGGAAAGCAGGUUGGAUUUUGGCAGCUCCCUCCCAGAAGAAUUCCAACCUGGAAAGAAUAUGAUUUGCAAAUAGCGAUAACCUGUACUUUCUAAAUGUAUCAGAAAAGAAGGCAUCUGAAAUACAUGUCUGUAAAAAAAAAUUUUUUUUCAGCUUUUCUGAUUUUCCAGCUCUCCUCCUAUUUGUUCUCUCCAAUUUUCUGCAAAUUUCCUAUAUCCUGUGCUCAAAACAGUGCUCCCAUUGUUGGCCCCCUCUUAUACUUGUGCUCCUCACUGUUCCUUAUUGUCUGCUCCUUUGCUGAAUUAUAUUCAGAUUGCCUUAGGUUGUUCUAACAUCCUUGGUCACAGUGAUUAUCAGCAAACAUGAAAGUAGAUUAGCAAAGGUUAACAAUUAACUGGACACAGAAACAUAUGGAGAGAGCUGGUAGCUGGAUAUCUGCCCUGCUCAGCCAAAGAAGGUAUUUGGACAGAUUCACGAGAUUGCCCAGGGCUAAACUAUGUAAUGAGUAAGAAGUUGUCAUUGUAGAAGGUAUGAUUCAUUCAUCACUUCUGUACAAUAAUCUGGUGGCAGGAAGAUGAAGAUUUUGCCAUACGUUUUGGUGUUAUCUAGAAUUUGCAGAUAUUUGUGGAUUCUUUUUGUUUCUGUUGUAGUUCUUAGCAUAUGUGCGUAAAUGUGUAUGUACCUUUAUUCCUUAUAGACGGCCUUUGUUUUUGCUCCUCUCCUCCCUCCCACAAGCCCUCAUCAAUGAAAAUGAUCAGUUCAAAUGAAAGAAGUCAAUACCAAAUAUUCAUUUUAGACUACUUCUUAGAUAUACUGGCAAGUUAGAUUCCAGUAGAUUCACUGUGCAUAUUAAAAUUGUGCUAAAGCCCAUCUUCAGUGUAUCUGGUUUUGUGCUAUAAGGACUUUGCCAGCAAAACUUUUGAUUAAACCCACAACAACUGAGCUCUGUUUAACUCUCAGCAAUCUGAUUUCCAUUGUACCGGACUGUUCCUUGGGGUUGUGCCUGGAAAUUUUAUCAUCAUUUGGGCCUAAAUCAGACACCAGAGUGGAAAUAAGAAUUCUAAAAGGAGAGAAGAGCGAAGAAAGAUUAUUAUUUUUAUGUACAACAGAAGGCAUUUAAUUUAACUGUGUGCUCAGAGAGGAGAGGGAGCAAUUUUAAAUCCAACCUUUCAGGAUAUAGUUUUCGAUGUUAUUUUAAAUUUGGAUCAUGCUUCAGUGUAUUUCUAAGGCAGUCUGUCCCUGGUUCUAAGUGGAUGGUAAGUUGCUGGGUCACGUUCUGGUUAUGCAGCAGGGAAAGCUCUUCUGAUUCUCUGCCCCAGACCUGCAGCAGAUUAGCAAGCUGAGGGAUGACCUGACUUUCAGCCACUGACUUGUUACAGCCCCUUUUCCUCCUCCCAAAGCCGACUCUGUUGUAGUGUGGGAGAUAAGCAUCUUACUAACCCAUUCUCCACCAGCUAGCUGAUCGAUUCACAGGACAGAAAAUGUCCCAAAACAUUUUACGUUUUGUACUAUGGGCCAAAUUUUGCUCAAUUUCCCUGGUGUGAGCCAGAAAUGGCUCAGUUACAACAGCAUAAAUUGGAUAUGCCCUAUUGGUCUCAAUGGGAUGACUGAAUUUGGCCCGAUGCUUUAGAUCUGUGUUAUUAAAACAGUCAGUCUUCUGGCUGCAAGGAGUAAUAUAAAAAAAUUAAAAUUCACAUAUGCUGGGAUGCACUCUGGAUAACGUUGUAACAGGAUAGAGUAUGAGGCUUAAACUUGCUUUGUACUACGGUGCUGACAACGUAUGUAUGGCAGUACUGGAGAAAAAGCAGUUUCCUCAUUCUCAGUGUGUUUUGCAACACACUGAGGCAUCUGGGCAAGUAGACUCUCAGAACCAUGACAGGGCUGAAAAAUUUGCCUGAAAUGAGGUGUAAAGAUGAGUAAAGAAUGAUUUCCUUGUUUUAGCUUGAAGAAGAAAAUAUUUUUUUUCAAAAAGCAGGAAGAUAGAUUAGAAAGGUUUGCAUUUAAAGUGAACACUUCCAUGUAUUUCCAGUUAACAGACAAAAAUACAUCAAAAUUUAUGAUGAAUGAUGCAUUUGCCUGGUCCUGUUCUCAUUAUACAUACAUCUGAAGCGGAACCAAUGCCAUUUAUGAAUAAUUUAAUUAAAAUAAUGACAAGUAUUUUCUAGCAUACAAAACUGUAAACAUUAAUUUAAUAAGGCUGAGAAUCAUGAAAUGCAAUCUUAAUUACUAGAAACCAGAAUAAUCAGCUGAACUGAGGCAGACAAGACAAUUAACUCUUUAGAAAUGAGUUUACAGCUGCUAGGGUGGAACUAACACACUAAGGGAGUUGGCACAGUUAUUACUUUGAAGUGCACAAUGUUUUGGAAUAGACCUUAAAAGCAAACUGUGUUCUCUUCGUUCUGCAUGUCUUUUAAAUAUUCUAUAGCCCUAGGAAUUUGUCCCAGGAUUUUUGUCUGUGUUGUCUGCCAGCCCUGAGGCGCAGUAAUAAUCUCUGAGCCAGCUCUCCUUCCUAAUGGCUGAGCUGCGAAGGCUGGAGGAGCCACCGGGUCAGGGCAAGCAGGCAUGCCACAUGCCUCCCUCCCUAGCUGAUAAUCAAGGUCUGCCCUAUAACAAGGUAGAUUUCGUGCAUCUUACCCUCUCCUGGGAGGCUGAUGCAGAACUUCAUUGGUGGUUAGAAACCUUCUCCACAUUUCCAGUUAUUUUUACUUGGGGACACUUCAUACCUUUCUAUCUGUUCAGGCUUUUACCUCUCACCCCAGUGUAUUUGAAGGCAACAUGCAUACCUUUUGUAUUGUCAGGAUAGCAAGGAAAUUGCUGGUGCCUCCUCGUGUAAGGUGGACUAACCCUGCCACUGGUAAUAAGUUGCAAUUUCACUUCAGCUUUCUUUAAUAUUGGUACCAAAAUUGUGCAAAGCUUUCUGUUUGGCAGUAAAGGAGAACCAUUUUGAAACUGGGUCAUGCCCAGCAAGGGUAAACUUUCAGUUCAGAUUCAAAGUCAGAAGUAUCAGAAAGCUGAGAAUUAUCACCUUGUGAAUAAAAUAUAUGGAGCUUUUAAACUGUAAAUGCUGUGCCUGGCAGCACCUUUGUUACUUUGGAGUAGGCCAAAAUGACACAGCCUGCUCUGCAGGUGCCACUGCUUUUUUCACAGUGUGUUCAUGUCUCUGCAUUUCAUGCUCUGGUGCCUCAUUUCUGACUCAUCAUAUGAAUCGCACAAAAGAAGAACAGGAACUGGUAGCUGAGGCUUCGUGUUUUCCUUUCAGGGUCGCCACAUGCUCCCAAGCAUUCGCGGUGCUUCUGGUGCGCGCCAAGGGCCCCCUCUCUCCCAGCUCUGUAACUUCAGAUGUAGGCAACAGAAUUAUGAAAACAGCAAAAGUAUGAUUUUGUGGAGCUCUAACUCUGGUCACCGAUGGCAAAUGCAGUAGCCAAAUUUAGGUGACAUUUACACUUUCUAAGUAUAGAGUGUGAUUUAACUUUUGGGUUUUUUUCUCAAUUUGCCACCGUGUUUUGAGAUCUCAUAUUUUGGAAUAUGGAACAGUUGUCAUUAUUAAAUUCGACAGAAGAUUCAUCAGCAUCCACCAGUUUAGUUUAAAAUUUACGAUUUAAAAUGAGAAUGAAAUGAAGAGGUCACCACCUGUUGUGGACUAACACUAAUAAAACCCGGAGACUAGAAAAAUAACCUUAAUAAAGCGACAUCUAGUGGCCACGGCAAGGCAGGAGUGAAAACCUGAGAUUAGUUUGCCCAAGAGCAAAAGACUGGACAGCGUUUGAAGCAAACCUAGAUUCACAGAGGGAAUAUCCACAAGAUACAACGAAGAGAAGUUGAUCUUUUUUAUUCUAGUCUCCUGAUUGCUUUGGAUGAGCUUUCCGAUACAUGAUUGAUUAACUCAUACAAUGAGCUUUUAGUCUAGGCCUCUUGCCGUACAGAUUUACUGCUGCAUUAAAACACUGGUGCUUCUUGCUCUCCUCUUCACCAUGACAGUGAUUUGUUAUGUGAACAUUCAAGUAGCCAAAAUAACUGUGGGGCAAGCUAUGGCGAUUCGUGUGUUCAGUCACGCUACAACUGAAUGUACAGAUGAGAUAUGGUUGCACAUAGCUUUUCUUAAACAGGCUCUGUACAUCUUUAGCAUUUUGUGCUCUGCUUUUGUCUUGGCUGUGCGCUCUCCUUUGGUCCUGGAUCAUCUUGAACCAGCUAGGUAGAUGUCUACCAGAAAAAAAGACUUUGGCCAUAACAUCUGUUCUUUGCGUCUAAGCCAGUAUGGGAGUGAGGAGCUGGAGUGAUUUUACUGUGUUGCUUGCUAGGUACCAACUUGUGAGUAUACUUUAUAGAAAGGACCUCGGGUCACUGGUUCUUGUGAUAUUUGAUGUUGUUGUUAUUUGUCAGUUCAAGCCAGUACAGGUGCAGCAGUAAAAACAAAUGCUAUGUAUUUUUUGAGGGGAAAAAAACCUGACCUGGCUUUUUAUAAACUCUGCUGUUAGCUGGUGCUUGUCUCUUAGGAAACAGUGUGUCCCUGUAGCACGGGGCAGAUCAUGUUUUAACAUGAGAGGUGGAUCCCGUUGUCAGUCAGUGAAAUAUUAAAAUUGUCUUCAGUGGGCAAAGAUUUUUGCCCCUAAAUUUUUAUUCCAGGUUAAAGGCUGACCAGCUCUGUGAAUCUAAUUUCUCUUAGCACGAGUUUCUCUACCUGCAAACUAGGGACAACACAGGGAUAGUUUUUGUUUCAGCAUGUCUUUCCAGCAGUGGAUCAUUAGAUCAGUUUUUCAAAAAUCAUUGUCAUCUUCAGAUGGAAAAUGCUACAAAAGAGCUUGAUAUUGUCAUGCUUUUUAAAAAGGCUCUUGUACUGUCAGGUAAACGAAUUGUCCAUGCAUGGGAGAUAGAGAAGCUUGCGUGCUGCUCAGACUUAAGGGAAAGAAAAUAAAAACAGGUAUCGUUACAGCAGAGUUUAAUUUCUUCUUUUUCUCUCAGAAGUGGUGUGUUUGGAAAACUUCGGAAAGGAGAUUCCUAAUUUCACCAAAUCCUGCGUGCACGUACGGUGUUUAUUAGCCAACAUGUUUCACUUCUUAAAAGUUGACGUACUCGCACUGUGCAGCCUUUUUUCUAAAUCGGCAUAACCAGAAAGAGCUGUCUUUCUCUGUAACUUCACUAGGACACACUUUGCUGGGAAUGGCAGCAUGCAGGGGUGAAAGCCUUUAGCGUACUGUGUGCCAGUACCACAGAGCUAGCCUGUGCUUCAGACAGCAACUGUUGCCCAGUGCCAGUUUACGUGAGUUCUCUGGUGAUGUAUGUUCAGGGCAUCGACCAGCAGCAGCAGUCGGGAUCGCCCCGUAGCGCUGUCGAUUGCCCUCGCUAUUGUGGCAGCAGUCUGUAAUGACAGUGCUGUUCCCCCACCCAACUGCAGAACGAGAGGGUGCUGCCAGCAGUGGCAAGGCCUUCCAUCCUUGUAUUCUGCGGAAAACUUUCUCUCCUAGGUUUAUUAAAAAUUGAUAUAUAUUUUUUCAUUUUUAAUUGCUGGCAUAAUUUUGCUACUCCUGGCAUUUCCUGUGUGUAUAAGUUCCCUUACUUUUUUAUUUAUUUUGUGUUUUAGAUUUUCCCAAAAACUAAUAGUUUUUUUUACUAAAAUUUCAACUUGAGGGAAUAUAAGUGAGAGUAGAAUUUGGGUGGUAUGAAGUGAUGAAUAGUACAGAUUUCAACUGUAUCAGUAAUGUCUGUUGCUGCUUAGUAUGGAUGUAUAGUGUCUUCAUUGGAAUUUAUUGCACUCUGUGUGCAUCCCUCAGUCCUGAGUCUCUUAAACAAUGGCAACUUAAUAUUAACAAGUCACAUUUGCCAAGGGCACUGAAGUUCAUGUGUUGCCAGAAGCAGUUUUAUAGAGAAGAUGGAUAUUCCGAGGCGCUUAAAUAUAAUCAACUAGAAAUAUGACUAUAACUUACUAAAUUUGCUGUUCAUAUGUAACAGAACCGUGCUUGUCUCUGGAAAUUUUUGGAGAUAGUUUCUGUAAGAAAGCAAAUGUAUUUUUUCAUAGAAAGCACAGUAUUAUUAAACAAGCUGAGGAUUGGAUCAGGAUUUCUAGUGGUUUGCAUGGUACCAUUUUAAAGAAUCAAUAUUUCUAUAAUAAUCACUAAGCUUUAAUACUAAUCAGUAAGUUUGAAAAUCAGUAAGUUUUAAUGUUAGAAAACAGAAUUACAUUUUUAUAUAUACAGGCAACUGAUUUCCUAGUAUAUCUGAUGACACUUCAGAACUGACAGAAGGGACUAUGUUUAUACAGAAUUAAUCUAUUCUGAACUGCAUUAUUAAAUUCAGACUUUGAUCUUAGGCUGAAGUGUUUUGUGCAGCUGUGAAUCAAUGGGGUUUUGGAGAGAAGACUGUAAGAAUCAGGAAGUUUAGGAGGAGGGCAGGAAAUGCCCACUUCACAGAAAUGGGAACCCAAGCUGCUUUGAGUUUUGUCUUCAAUUGUGAGUCCAAAACAUACAUUGCUUUUCAUCUCACCCCGCCUGCCCCAGCUCCUCCUCCUCCCUCUCUCCCUUCAUCCAGGAUCAGAUUAUGAACAGAAACAAAGGCUUUGUGUUGGGCCUUCGCGGAUGCACCGGUUCCAGUUCUUUAAGAAGUUUUGGCCAGAAUUAUGCUCCUUGGAUUUGGCCUAUUGCUUGAUACGUUGGAGUGACAAUCGUGUCAUUUGCUUUUAACUAAUGUUACAAAAAAUAGGGCAGGGGAACCAGGUUGUAAAGAUUACCUACAGAAUAUGCUGUAGUGGUGGCCUGAGAAUAGCCUAAAGCUGGAAAACAUAGAGAGAAGUGCCUAGGUUAGUACAGGUGCUUUAAAUAUCUUUAUAAGCCAGAGAGCCAAUGAGCACUGUUUUAAGGAGUCUAAGCAGACCUGCAAAUUGCCGGCUCUGGAAAACAAAGGCAUCUCACUGUCCGCCCUUCACAAGCCUUCACAAACAAGAGGGAGAAGCAAUUUAUUGCAUUCUCUCAUUAGACAGAUACUCAGUUCCUGGAUAUAACAGUACUGGGAGUUUUAUUGAAUCUUGUAGACACCAGCCUGCACUCCCCGUAUGUUCAGAAUUUUACAGGCUGUUUCCAUUAGGAGAAGAAAUUGAUACUGAAGCCAGAUAUUUAAUUGGUUAAAUCCUUUUUUAUUUACCAAAAAAAUGUAGGCAAAACACUGUUCUCCUGAACACAGCAGGCAGAUUCCUUGUUCAUGUUUCCAAACCUGCUUUUCCAGACAACACACUGCUGUAUAAAGCUUUCUCUGGGAUGUUGGUACAAAUGAUUCUUUUAUUCUCUCUCUAAUUUUCUGGUUAUCUUUAGUUGCAUCUCACUCAUUAGGGCAAGCAGAGUCUUUUUAGCUGUAUAGGACUGCUGACUCCAAUUCUUUAAAAGGCCAGUUCAUUUCUGCUGUCUUCUGGGACACUGAAUUUUCUAGGUGGUGUAUAUUUUGCACGGGAUACUAGUUAUUGGUACUAAUCAUGGGUCUGAAGUACAGCAUAAUCUCUGCUGCUUGUAUAAUUAAUGCAAGUGUUGUAAAGUUGCUAUAAACAGAAAAAUGUGCUCAUGUUUUUUUUCUUCAGGAUGAGUAGGACUGCACAUAACAAGUAUCCAUCCCCUGGCCAAAUGGUAAGGUAGAGCAUGCUUUACAAAGGGAUGAAAUAACAUCCAGUGGGUUUUAAGGAGGGAGAAGCUGUCUGUAAGAAAAGUUUCAAGACAGUAGUUGUCCCAGCUGUGAUUACUCAGCAGGCACAGAUUGUUCCAUGAAUUAUUCAGGUUGUUGAGUCAGUCAUAAGUCCACUGAAAGACAUUAGAUUUUAGGUAUGCAAAUAAGCUGCACACAUUUGAAUUUAUGUUAACUGAUACUAAGAGUCAAUGUUCAAGUUAUUUUCUUAAUUUUUGGUGGCAUCAGUUCACUCAUAUGAAAGUUGAACCAGUGGAAGAGAGCAGGGAUCCUCUGCAGCCUCUCGCUUUGCACUGUGAUGAAGAUGGUGUGCACUACAGAUGAUAUACCGCAGACAGGAGCUAUGGCUGCAGUACACACAAGUUUCUGUCUAGCAAACUCACGAAGCAUGAGUAUUUAGCACAGAUUAGACCUUUGAGUCUCCAGGCUUCCCAAAAGGCUUACAUGGCCCAUGCCACUGCUGCUAUUGGUAUCUGAGCUUGCUGAUUGAAAAGCUAGACUGCACCUGCCACAGUCGCAGAGGUAUCCAGACGGAGCGGCUGCUGUCGUCUGCCCUUCCUGGACACCCCAGUUUGCCUCACGGAGUGCUUAGCAGUGAUGCCGAGAGAGGCACAGGAGGCCCAGCAAAUUCACAGUUAUCUUAACAGUGUGUUCUCCUCUCCAGGUUAUGUCUGUCUUGUAAUUCUUUCCCCUGCCCCAGACUUGGAGCAGCGCUGUGUAUGAAAAGCCGUCUUCGCGGGGAACAGAUUGAUGGGCUUCACAUCAAUCCCUUCGAGGUGCUCUAGUCCUUGUUGUGGCUUGCCUAUCGUGAUAUGGGCAGCCUCAAGACUGAAGAGAUGCAUCUGUGUUUUCUUCUCAGACACACUCUCAGACAGAAGGUUGAACUAAACUGAAAACUAUCAUCAGAUGAUAAUCCUGAGGAUACUGGGGUUAGAUGAAUAUGGAUAUUUGAAAGUGACUUGGAAGAGGUUAAAUACGGUUUACAUAUAUAAUAGGGGGGAACGUUGUGGAUGGGGCUUGGUGCUCAAAGGCCUGAAAGACCAGUGGCACUCAGUCAAGACAGGAGCUGUCGGGAGAGAGAGCGAACAAGAGGCCUGCUGCCAGUUUUACUAGAAAAUUGGAUAAAAGAUGUGGAAGAAGAAAAGGCUACAGAUCUGUUUGCUGGCAGGGGAAAAUGCUCUGCAUGCAGAAUUCGUUGUCAUGGGAAAAAGCACAGGAAGCACAAUACUGCAACCUCUGCAACCACUGUGCCCUGCUGGAAUUGAACUCUAAUCUUCUAUAUAAUAAAGAAAACACUUUUCAACUACAGUGGUGAUACACAGCUCAGAACAUGGAGCCCACACAAAAUCUCACAGCCUCUGCAACAAAUUUCCGCAUCUGAAAGUGGAGGUGGAGUUAAUACUGUGCGAUGGAGGAGGAGGCAGUGCUGUUGGUGGCUGGCGAGAAGGAGCGAAGGCAGACGUCCCCCAGACGCCCUCUGAGGCCAGCCGUCAACCGGAGAGCCUGCGGCGGGGCAGUGGGCGCGCGUGCUGCCGUUCGCCGCCUGGGGAACGUGCGCGAGGCAUAGUUAGCAAUUAGUCUAAAGGUGAGUCGGCUCCGACUUCUUUUGCAAUUGAAAUUGUUUUUAGCUGUAAAAGGAACAUAAUCCAUAUGACAAGUAAUUGGUGGAGGCUGAAGAAGCCAAGAAAUAAUUAGAGGCACAGGAGCUUGGUGACAGUAUCACAGCUUAAAGCAGCUGCAGAUUAUGUGGAUUUGAACUGUAUCUUCAGAUGCACUGCAACCUCUUCUCUCCAAAGCCUCCUGAAAACUUUACUGACUCUAUUUGAGAAUGAACAGUUUCCUCAUUCCUCAAGCAUGUGUAAAUGCAGUCGCUUUUUGAAGGAGCACAUCCCCACUCUGAUUUAUUUUAAGUCAGCUUUUAGAAUGUGUCAUCCUUGUGAUGAAGUGUUAGGUCUGUAUUGCCAGUGUGCCAUUAAAAAAUGAAUUUCUGACAUUUAAAAGUCUCACUCAUCCCAAGUGUCACAAUCUGACAGCUCUGCAUGUCAUAUUACAGCACAGUAUUAUGGAUCCAUUUCCUCUGUCAUGAAAAAAGAAAAGAAAUAUGAAAAAUGAGAGCAAAAUCUGCAACCUCCUUUUUCAUUAUUCAUCUGGAAAUUCACAGAAAUAUGCAUGUUAGCCCUGAAAUGACUUAAACGGCCCUGUACAUCUUGUGAUGCCUGUCUGUGCAGAAGCAAACUUUGUCCCAUGCUCUCGUACAAAUCUUAAGAACGUGCCAUGUCCAUAUUGUCAAUUGUCUGUGAACUUGUAAAACAAGGAGGAAGGAACAUCUAUGGAAUCAACAAAUGGGUAUUGUCACAGAAUCAAAACAUGACCAGAUCCUGUUGUUUAUUCUUAACUAGGUCAAUAAAAAGGUCAUGUGAGAUAUUUCUUCCUACUUUGUUUUUGCCAACUCCGGACAGCCAUUCACUUUCCUGCCCUUUCUCUGUUUAUCUAUCUGCAAUGUGAUAACUUCAAAACAUGACAUCUGAUCAGCCUCAAAAUGCUGGGGUGUUCGCACACCAGUAACAAAAAUGGUCUGAGCUUCAGAUAUAUUUUCUGCCUAGAACUUUUGUCCACGCAGAACAUGAGGACUUUGGCCAGAAGUGUCUGGUGUCCAUCAGCCCAGUCAGAGCACAAGCUGAAGCCAUCUGCCGUUUCAUCCAGCGAGCUGGGACAGAUGUCCAGUGCACAUGCGCUGCUUCGUGCAUGUUGAUGAAUUUGACACAGUGAGUAAUGGCACCAGGCUGUAGUUGGCUGCUGCCUUUCCCAGGGACCCAGCCACCCCCUGCCCGUUACAUGUCAUGCCCACCGUUUUCCAUGAUGUGGCCUCCCAACUAUGAAGGUCCUCCGAAAAAUAAUAGCUGGGAACAGGUGGCUGUUGCCUGAAUAAAUAGUCUGGCCUUCA